rnacentral:pre_miRNA from 1 species
UUUAAUUGCAGUUGUGGGUUUUAGUGUUUAAUGUUUAUCCGUCUUAUUUAAAUUAUUUUAUAAUUACUAUUUAUAUUGUUAUUAGAUGAUAAAAUAUGAAUAUUACUCAUGCAUGAAUCAAGUUUUUAUUUUUUUAUAAUUUCUUUAAAUAAGACAGACGGUUAAACGUUUGGUACCGAAACCCACAACUGUACUAAAA